UACGUAGGGGGCAAGCGUUGUCCGGAAUCAUUGGGCGUAAAGCGCGUGUAGGCGGCUUCGUCAGUCCGUUGUGAAAGUCCAGGGCUCAACCCUGGAAUGCCGAUGGAUACUGCGGAGCUAGAGUCCGGAAGAGGCGAGUGGAAUUCCUGGUGUAGCGGUGAAAUGCGUAGAUAUCAAGUGGAACACCAGUGGCGAAGGCGAAUCCCUGGAAAAUACCUGACACUGAGGCACGAAAGCUAGGGGAGCAAACAGG
rnacentral:rRNA from 1 species